rnacentral:tRNA from 1 species
ACUAUUUUGGCAGAUUAGUGCAAUAAAUUUAGAAUUUAUUUAUGUGAAUUUUUGUCACAAAUAGUA